rnacentral:lncRNA from 1 species
AUGGGAAGGCCCGGGGGUCGGGCUCCAUGGAGACGCCGGGGAGUCCCGCGCGCUGCGUGGCGGUGGCGGUGGCGGUGGCGGUGGCGGCGGCGGCGGCGGCACAAUGCCCGGCGCGGGGAACUCCCCGGCGGGGGGAGGCAGAGGCGCGCGGAGAUCCCGGCCCCGCGGGGCGCGUCCGGGGAGGCAGCCGGAGCCCGCGCGGGCUUGGAGGAAGUAUUUCCGGUGGCUCUGCUGGUGCGCUUUGUAGAGGGUGACUUCUAGAGUGGCUGGGCUUGGCUCUUGCCCCUCUGGGAAUCUUCAGGAAGAGGGGACAGAAAGAAGAGGAAGUGCCUGAGACACAAGCAGGAAAGGUGUCAGGUGCCGUAGGGGCAGGGCUGCCAGGCGUACCCAGGACACCCAGGUAAACUGGAACCUCAGAUACACAAUAAUCACUUGGUAUGAGUGUGUCCCAAAGAUUGCACGGGAUAUACUUAUCCUAUAAUUUUUUUUUGUCUUCUCUCUGGAAUUAGUGUUUUACUGGUUAUGCUGUCUUACAUCUGGCAAGCCUGCAU